UCCCGUGUGAGCUUUAUCCUCGCCAAUGGCGGCGACUCUCUCCUGCCUCCCCUCUCCCGCUCGUUCCCGUGCUCUCUCCUCCACGAAUCACCCUCCGGCCAAUUUCCCGUCAUCGUCGUGGCCGGUCGAGAGCAGCGCGGGCCUGGGCGCGAGGCAGCACGAGCGGGGCGUCGGCCUUGGCGCGAGCUGCGUGCAGCACGAGCGCGACGCCAGCCUUCGACGCGAGCCCCGUGUCCGGCACGAGCGGGACAGAAGAUUUGUGGAGGCGGCCGCUGGUCCUGCUGAUGGCAAAGAAGAGCAAGGGGCCGGCUGUCUCUGCCAUGGAGGCGCUAUUGGAGGUGGCCAAGGAGGCUCCCACUUCAACGUCAUGGACUCCUUCAGCAGAUCCAGUGGUAUUCUGGUGUAAUAUAUAUUACAAAUUGCAGGAGGAAGAUGUAAAGGCAUCCAGGUUCAGGGGCCACCUGUGCCACAUAGAUGUUGUUUCCUUCACAUAUUGACUAUCUAACUCCAAAUUAUUAAAUAGGUAACUCAGAAUGUACUAGAACACUUCUGAGUUAGAAGAACUGAGGUUCUAUAUAAUUUUGAGGAGUAUGUCGAAGAUGUUGGCUUAGGACCCAAACCCACUGAUGGUCCUCUGUGCUGCCACGACCUCCUUUCUAUGUCUCAGCGGAAGUUGUGUGGGUAGCCACUCGAACCGGCCUUUUUUAUCUUCUCUGGUUGGUGGCUAUGGGUAUAGAUACAUGGAGCUCUGGCCAUGGAGGCUAUUUAGUGACUAGAUACAUGAGGCGACAACGAGGCUUGCCAUGUCCAGGUCAACAAGGAGCACGGUAUGUUUAUUCUGAUGGCAAAAGAGAUGGAUCCCUGAUUUAUUAAACUAAAUGUGUGUACUCUUUUAUAGAUUAAGAGGUACAAUGUUGUUACAUGGCUUGCUGUUACUAGAAACCAGUUUUAUUGUCAUGUUUAAUUGUGCGUCACUCUUUUUGGAAAUAGUUGCAACUAU